UAUUUUCUUCAGGGCAGGGUGCAAUUCCCGACCGGCGGUACAGCCCGCGAACCAUGAAAAUGGUUGAUCUGGUGAAACUCCAGAGCCGACAGUAUAGUCUGGAUGGAAGAAGAAAGAU
rfam:Clostridium halophilum strain M1 genome assembly, contig: G325DRAFT_scaffold00003.3